GAUGAACGCUAGCGGCAGGCCUAAUACAUGCAAGUCGAGGGGCAGCAUUAACUUCGGUUAGAUGGCGACCGGCGCACGGGUGCGUAACGCGUAUGCAACCUACCUUUUACUGGGGGAUAGCCCGAAGAAAUUCGGAUUAAUACCCCAUGGUAUGAUGAGAUCGCAUGAUUUUAUUAUUAAAGUUUUUCGGUAAAAGAUGGGCAUGCGUAAGAUUAGCUAGUUGGUAAGGUAACGGCUUACCAAGGCAACGAUCUUUAGGGGUUCUGAGAGGAUGAUCCCCCACACUGGUACUGAGACACGGACCAGACUCCUACGGGAGGCAGCAGUAGGGAAUAUUGGUCAAUGGGGGCAACCCUGAACCAGCCAUGCCGCGUGCAGGAAGACGGCUUUCUGAGUUGUAAACUGCUUUUAUAUAGGAAGAAAAAGCCUUGCGAGGUUCUAUGACGGUACUAUAUGAAUAAGGACCGGCUAACUCCG
rnacentral:rRNA from 1 species